rnacentral:hammerhead_ribozyme from 1 species
GCACUACUGAGGAGUCCCAUACUAGGACGAAACGGUCGUUCAGUGC